UACGUAGGGGGCAAGCGUUGUCCGGAUUUAUUGGGCGUAAAGAGCGUGUAGGCGGCCUGACAGGCCUGCUGUGAAAACUCGAGGCUCAACCUCGAGAUGUCGGCGGAAACCGUCUGGCUAGAGUCCGGAAGAGGAGAGUGGAAUUCCUGGUGUAGCGGUGAAAUGCGCAGAUAUCAGGAAGAACACCUAUGGCGAAGGCAGCUCUCUGGGACGGUACUGACGCUGAGACGCGAAAGCGUGGGGAGCGAACAGG
rnacentral:rRNA from 1 species